AACCAACAACAACCUUUUUAUUUUUCAUUUUACUCUCAUCCUAAAGAGUAAAAUACUCCUUUUUCCACUGCUGAUAUGAUUAGCAGUGGUUUUUUUG
rnacentral:antisense_RNA from 1 species